rnacentral:rRNA from 1 species
AUUGAACGCUGGCGGCAUGCCUUACACAUGCAAGUCGAACGGUAACAGGUCUUCGGAUGCUGACGAGUGGCGAACGGGUGAGUAAUACAUCGGAACGUGCCCGAUCGUGGGGGAUAACGCAGCGAAAGCUGUGCUAAUACCGCAUACGAUCUACGGAUGAAAGCGGGGGAUCGCAAGACCUCGCGCGGACGGAGCGGCCGAUGGCAGAUUAGGUAGUUGGUGGGAUAAAAGCUUACCAAGCCGACGAUCUGUAGCUGGUCUGAGAGGACGACCAGCCACACUGGGACUGAGACACGGCCCAGACUCCUACGGGAGGCAGCAGUGGGGAAUUUUGGACAAUGGGCGCAAGCCUGAUCCAGCCAUGCCGCGUGCAGGAUGAAGGCCUUCGGUUGUAAACUGCUUUGUACGGAACGAAAAGACUCUCUCUAAUACAGGGGUGAAUGACGGUACCGUAAGAAUAAGCACCGGCUAACUACGUGCCAGCA